UUAUGUAAGGGUAAUUUGGCUACAACAUAUGUCACCCAAUUGAUUGCCAUGGUUGAUUCAGUGAAUCUGGCUGGCUAAACAAGUGUCCUGUCCUCCUUCAUCAAUUCAUGUGCCUUCCUCUCCAACCUGUGCUUUUUAUCAAAGAAAGAGGUCUUUAUAGAGGAGGUCAUUCUCUGAUAGAGAACCACUCUUUGGUAAAGGAUGUACAAGUAGCUCUGGUGCACUGCUAGAACCUCCAAUAAGUGUUCAGCAUCCAUUUGUAGGAGAAUGAAGACUAGUCAAACUUCCAAGACUCCAGACACAUUCAAUGAAAUUCUGCAUGUGGCAGUCCAUACUUUUU
rnacentral:snRNA from 1 species